rnacentral:rRNA from 1 species
UACGGAGGGUGCAAGCGUUAUCCGGAUUCACUGGGUUUAAAGGGUGCGUAGGAGGGCAGGUAAGUCAGUGGUGAAAUCUCCGAGCUUAACUUGGAAACUGCCGUUGAUACUAUCUGUCUUGAAUAUUGUGGAGGUGAGCGGAAUAUGUCAUGUAGCGGUGAAAUGCUUAGAUAUGACAUAGAACACCAAUUGCGAAGGCAGCUCGCUACACAUAUAUUGACGCUGAGGCACGAAAGCGUGGGGAUCAAACAGG